rnacentral:rRNA from 1 species
UUAAAUUGAAGAGUUUGAUCAUGGCUCAGAUUGAACGCUGGCGGCAGGCCUAACACAUGCAAGUCGAACGGUAACAGGAAACAGCUUGCUGUUUCGCUGACGAGUGGCGGACGGGUGAGUAAUGUCUGGGAAACUGCCUGAUGGAGGGGGAUAACUACUGGAAACGGUAGCUAAUACCGCAUAACGUCGCAAGACCAAAGAGGGGGGACCUUCGGGCCUCUUGCCAUCGGAUGUGCCCAGAUGGGAUUAGCUAGUAGGUGGGGUAACGGCUCACCUAGGCGACGAUCCCUAGCUGGUCUGAGAGGAUGACCAGCCACACUGGAACUGAGACACGGUCCAGACUCCUACGGGAGGCAGCAGUGGGGAAUAUUGCACAAUGGGCGCAAGCCUGAUGCAGCCAUGCCGCGUGUAUGAAGAAGGCCUUCGGGUUGUAAAGUACUUUCAGCGGGGAGGAAGGGAGUAAAGUUAAUACCUUUGCUCAUUGACGUUACCCGCAGAAGAAGCACCGGCUAACUCCGUGCCAGCAGCCGCGGUAAUACGGAGGGUGCAAGCGUUAAUCGGAAUUACUGGGCGUAAAGCGCACGCAGGCGGUUUGUUAAGUCAGAUGUGAAAUCCCCGGGCUCAACCUGGGAACUGCAUCUGAUACUGGCAAGCUUGAGUCUCGUAGAGGGGGGUAGAAUUCCAGGUGUAGCGGUGAAAUGCGUAGAGAUCUGGAGGAAUACCGGUGGCGAAGGCGGCCCCCUGGACGAAGACUGACGCUCAGGUGCGAAAGCGUGGGGAGCAAACAGGAUUAGAUACCCUGGUAGUCCACGCCGUAAACGAUGUCGACUUGGAGGUUGUGCCCUUGAGGCGUGGCUUCCGGAGCUAACGCGUUAAGUCGACCGCCUGGGGAGUACGGCCGCAAGGUUAAAACUCAAAUGAAUUGACGGGGGCCCGCACAAGCGGUGGAGCAUGUGGUUUAAUUCGAUGCAACGCGAAGAACCUUACCUGGUCUUGACAUCCACGGAAGUUUUCAGAGAUGAGAAUGUGCCUUCGGGAACCGUGAGACAGGUGCUGCAUGGCUGUCGUCAGCUCGUGUUGUGAAAUGUUGGGUUAAGUCCCGCAACGAGCGCAACCCUUAUCCUUUGUUGCCAGCGGUCCGGCCGGGAACUCAAAGGAGACUGCCAGUGAUAAACUGGAGGAAGGUGGGGAUGACGUCAAGUCAUCAUGGCCCUUACGACCAGGGCUACACACGUGCUACAAUGGCGCAUACAAAGAGAAGCGACCUCGCGAGAGCAAGCGGACCUCAUAAAGUGCGUCGUAGUCCGGAUUGGAGUCUGCAACUCGACUCCAUGAAGUCGGAAUCGCUAGUAAUCGUGGAUCAGAAUGCCACGGUGAAUACGUUCCCGGGCCUUGUACACACCGCCCGUCACACCAUGGGAGUGGGUUGCAAAAGAAGUAGGUAGCUUAACCUUCGGGAGGGCGCUUACCACUUUGUGAUUCAUGACUGGGGUGAAGUCGUAACAAGGUAACCGUAGGGGAACCUGCGGUUGGAUCACCUCCUUACCUUAAAGAAGC